rnacentral:rRNA from 1 species
GCUAAACGCGAAGAACCUUACCUGGUCUUGACAUGUCUGGAAUCCCGAAGAGAUUUGGGAGUGCCGCAAGGAACCAGAACACAGGUGCUGCAUGGCUGUCGUCAGCUCGUGUCGUGAGAUGUUGGGUUAAGUCCCGCAACGAGCGCAACCCUUGUCCUCUGUUGCCAUCAGGUUAAGCUGGGCACUCUGAGGAGACUGCCGGUGACAAACCGGAGGAAGGUGGGAUGACGUCAAGUCAUCAUGGCCUUUAUGGCCAGGGCUACACACGUGCUACAAUGGCAGGUACAGAGGGAAGCCAACCGGCAACGGGAGCCAAUCCCAGAAAGCCUGUCUUAGUCCGGAUUGCAGUCUGCAACUCGACUGCAUGAAGUUGGAAUCGCUAGUAAUCGCAGAUCAGCAUUGCUGCGGUGAAUACGUUCCCGGGUCUUGUACACACCG